rnacentral:rRNA from 1 species
UACGUAGGGGGCAAGCGUUGUCCGGAUUUAUUGGGCGUAAAGAGCGUGUAGGCGGUCUGGUAGGUCCGUUGUGAAAACUCGAGGCUCAACCUCGAGACGCCGAUGGAAACCAUCAGACUAGAGUCCGGAAGAGGAGAGUGGAAUUCCUGGUGUAGCGGUGAAAUGCGCAGAUAUCAGGAGGAACACCAAUAGCGAAGGCAGCUCGCUGGGACGUUACUGACACUGAGGCGCGAAAGCGUGGGGAGCGAACAGG